CUUUCUUGUAAAAGGGAGGGUUGAAACUCACAGUAUGUAAGCAAGAAACUCCCUGGCACUUGCAUUUGCUGUCUGCGCUCCUAGGAACACAGUGCUGCCACUCACUUGAACAUUUUCUCCUCCUGUAACCUCAUGGAUGGACCUGGCUUUUUUUCCUACAACCAACUAGGGAUGUGCGGAGACUAUAUGGACACAUAUUCUAGAGAGGUGACUUCAGAAGUUGACAGAGGAAUAUUAAAUCGUGGAAACAUGACUUCUAGGAAAGAGGCCAUAUAUCCCGAUGUGAUGGAAAGGCUGGAGAAGUUGGAAAAAGAAUUUAGUGAGAAGAGAGUUUGGUAUGACAAUGUUGAGGUUUGACUACAAUUUCUGGAGAACUGCAACAGGUACCAUGAUUCUUUAUUUUAAGAAUACAUAUGAGGGAGAAAUCAUGUGUUUCUGCAACUGUCAUGAAAACAUACUCAACCUUGGCUAUCAGAACUGUUCUGCAGGGUAGUCCAAACUUUCAUUCUUCUAUUUGGUUCCAUUUUCAUAGAUAGGCUUGAGAUCCAAGACAGAUUUGUCUUGGAGUGCAGCUCAAGGUACAGGGUACAUUACAGGAAAUCAAGUCAGAGAGGAGUCAGAGAGGGAAAUUCAGGGAGUCAGAGAGGGAAAUUGACCGGUGGAAGCAUACUCUACCCACCCUGAGGCAGACUCAUGAGCCAGCCACCACACAAGAAACAAAGGCUCCCCUAUCCCACCAGGCAGCCACUACACAAUAGACAAAGGUUCCCCCAUCCCACCAGGCAGUAGGAGGGGGUCCUAAGACAAGGGGGGAAGGUUUCUGCUCAGGUGGUAGGUGAGUCCUCUCCCUGCCCACCUCACCUUCCUGACUAGCCUUAUGUAACAGGUAUGAGGCUCUAGAACUUGACAGUCAAAACAGUGAUGUAGACGAAAGCCCAUCCCGGUUGGAAGGGGUGCCUAAGGCAAGGCAAUCUACCCCUCACAUCACUACAUCUUCUAUCAAGA
rnacentral:lncRNA from 1 species